UAAGAGCUCACCUAGGCGACGAUGUGUAGCCGGUCUGAGAGGAUGAACGGCCACAAUGGAACUGAGACACGGUCCAUACUCCUACGGGAGGCAGCAGUGGGGAAUAUUGCACAAUGGGGGAAACCCUGAUGCAGCAACGCCGCGUGAGUGAAGAAGGUUUUCGGAUUGUAAAGCUCUGUUAGCAGGGAAGAGGAAGGACGGUACCUGCAGAGGAAGCCACGGCUAACUACGUGCCAGCAGCCGCGGUAAUACGUAGGUGGCAAGCGUUGUUCGGAAUAACUGGGCGUAAAGGAUGCGUAGGCGGUUGAGUAAGUUAUGUGUUAAAUAUAUAGGCUUAACCUGUAGAAAGCACAUAAAACUGUUUAACUAGAGUGCAGGAGAGGUAAGUGGAAUUCCUAGUGUAGCGGUGAAAUGCGUAGAGAUUAGGAAGAACACCAGUGGCGAAGGCGACUUACUGGACUGUAACUGACGCUGAGGCAUGAGAGCAUGGGGAGCAAACAGGAUUAGAUACCCUGGUAGUCCAUGCUGUAAACGAUGGGUACUAGGUGUGGGUUGUGAAUAACA
rnacentral:rRNA from 1 species